rnacentral:tRNA from 1 species
GCCUUCGUGAUGCAGUUGGAAGCAUGCUCGACCCAUAUUCGAGAGGUAAAGGUUCGAAUCCCGGUGAAGGCU